rfam:Triticum aestivum genome assembly, contig: Triticum_aestivum_CS42_TGACv1_scaffold_329066_4BS
CUUGUACUCCCUCCGUCGGAAAACAUUGUCAUCAAAAUAAAUAAGAAGGAUGUAUUUAGAACUAAAAUACAUCUAGAUACAUCCCCUUUUAUUUAUUUUGAUGACAAAUAUUUUCGGACAGAGCAGAGUAUUAG